AGGACGAACGCUGGCGGCGUGCCUAACACAUGCAAGUCGAGCGGAAAGGCCUCCUUCGGGAGGUACUCGAGCGGCGAACGGGUGAGUAACACGUGGACAACCAACCCUUCACAUCGGGAUACCCCGGGGAAACUCGGAUCAAUACCGGAUAAUGCGCGACGCUGUUGGGCGUCGCACCAAAGGUAGCUUCGGCCUCUGGUGAAGGACGGGUCCGCGGCCCAUUAGCUUGUUGGUGGGGUAAUGGCCUACCAAGGCAACGAUGGGUAGCUGGUCUGAGAGGAUGAUCAGCCACACUGGGACUGAGAUACGGCCCAGACUCCUACGGGAGGCAGCAGUGGGGAAUAUUGCGCAAUGGGCGGAAGCCUGACGCAGCAACGCCGCGUGCGGGAGGAAGGCCUUCGGGUCGUAAACCGCUUUCAGGGGGGACGAAGCCACCAGGGUUAAUAGGCCCAUGGGGUGACGGUACUCCCGAGAAGAAGCCCCGGCUAACUACGUGCCAGCAGCCGCGGU
rnacentral:rRNA from 1 species